rnacentral:rRNA from 1 species
GAUGAACGCUGGCGGCGUGCCUAACACAUGCAAGUCGAGCGAUUUACUUCGGUAAAGAGCGGCGGACGGGUGAGUAACGCGUGGGUAACCUGCCCUGUACACACGGAUAACAUACUGAAAGGUAUGCUAAUACGGGAUAACAUAAGAGAGUCGCAUGGCUUUCUUAUCAACGCUUUUGCGGUACAGGAUGGACCCGCGUCUGAUUAGCUAGUUGGUAAGGUAACGGCUUACCAAGGCGACGAUCAGUAGCCGACCUGAGAGGGUGGUCGGCCACAUGGGAACUGAGACGCGGUCCAAACGCCUACGGGAGGCAGCAGUGGGGAAUAUUGCACAAUGGGCGAAAGCCUGAUGCAGCAACGCCGCGUGAGCGAUGAAGGCCUUCGGGUCGUAAAGCUCUGUCCUCAAGGAAGAUAAUGACGGUACUUGAGGAGGAAGCCCCGGCUAACUACGUGCCAGCAGCCGCAGUAA